rnacentral:rRNA from 1 species
GAUGAACGCUGGCGGCGUGCCUAAUACAUGCAAGUCGAGCGAACAGACGAGGAGCUUGCUCCUCUGACGUUAGCGGCGGACGGGUGAGUAACACGUGAAUAACCUACCUAUAAGACUGGGAUAACUUCGGGAAACCGGAGCUAAUACCGGAUAAUAUAUUGAACCGCAUGGUUCAAUAGUGAAAGACGGUUUUGCUGUCACUUAUAGAUGGAUCCGCGCCGCAUUAGCUAGUUGGUAAGGUAACGGCUUACCAAGGCAACGAUGCGUAGCCGACCUGAGAGGGGGAUCGCCCACAAUGGAACUGAGACACGGCCCAGACUCCUACGGGAGGCAGCAGUAGGGAAUCUUCCGAAAUGGGCGAAAGCCUGACGGAGCAACGCCGCGUGAGUGAAGAAGGUCUGCGGAUCGUAAAACUGUGUUAGUAGGGAAGAACAAAUGUGUAAGUAACUAUGCACGUCUUGACGGUACCGAAUCAGAAAGCCAGGGCUAACUACGU